CCUGGAUAAAAGGGCCCCGGUGGCAGUGCUCCUCAUUCACUCACUGCUGCUCCUUUGCACCAGGCCUUCUUCUCAAACAAGCUUUGCCUACGCCAGAAAGAUGUGCUCCCACGGGUCCUGCCACAACCGCCACAGGUCCUGCCAUGGCUCCAGCUCUCACUGCCAUGAAUCCAGACCCUCCUGCAAUAUCGUUGUGGUAGAGAAGCCAUACUGCUGCCCCGUGCAGCGCUACUGUCCACCCGUGUCCUGCUGCUACCCAGGCUACCAGUAUUCGCAGUGCUGCAAGUUCCCACAGUACCCCAAGUACCCACAGUACCCCAAGUAGGAGACACGGCUCCAAGAAGACCUUCAUGUUCUACUCGUCCCAUUAUGAAGGUGGUCCCAGUGCCUACUGGUCAUCUGGUCUUGUUUCACAGAUUGUAAUUUCCUGUUUUCUUUCAUCUUUGAUUGUCUGUAACCUGCCCUGAAGAUGUGCCCACUGUGCAAGUGUGAUGAAAUCUUUACUAAGGAUCAUUUCUGUUCUCAUUCUUUGUUCUUCUGUUGGAUAAAAGAGUAAUAAUAAAACUUAUUAUUCAAGGAA